UGUGUGUUGUACACGGGAAACAGCGCCCCUCUGUGACGUCUACCGUUAUUGGUUAAACUGACUUCAACGGUCACUGUGCACUAGUCGUUGAAGUUUACAGAAGAUUCGAGAAAGCCGUUAGCCAACCCGGUGAGCAUCUAAGUUGCUUCGACUGAAACGCUGGUUAAAACAUCGUAACAUCGUAGCAGGUCGACAUUUUUCCCAAUUGGAAAAGUCGGAGGCACGUGUAGUAUUUUCUUAAGUUAAUUUUAAGAUAUAAGCUUUCACGAAAUGGCGACGAUGGUGAUGGAACAGCCGUUAGUGACAGAUUGGGGAAUAAACUGCUACCGUACUAGCGCCUUUAAACGAUGCUUUGUUGACAAAUUGUCGUGUUCCAAUGAGAGGCGCUGUUUGUGCACAUUUGAGAACAGCCAGUACACAGGACAGCUCGGCCACAAGGGCAGCCUCCUGUACUCUGCGAUCUCCAGUUCCAGCCUGGUCUUGAUGUCAAGCAGCAUCUUGUACUCCUGGCCCUGGUGCUCCAGGUCUGCUCUCAGCUGAGCCAGCUGCUCCUCCAGAGCGCUCACCUGCCUCUGGUACCCUGCCAGGAUGUUGUUGUAGCGGAGCUUGGUCUCAGCCAGAGAUCCUUCCAGAACAUUUUUCUGUGGAAUGAAGUAAAGGGGCAGGAGUCGUCAGAAGUGUUCAGACUCAGCAUGGAUGACAUCAGCAGAUGACGUCACCAAGGAAACAGGAGUUGGAAUGCUGGUAUUCUCAGUCAAAAAGACAGUAAUUCAUCCUGAUGGUGGAGCGACUGUGUGAUUUAAGGUGAUUCUACACCAGGCUUAGAAACCAGUGAGGAAUUAAGGUUCAUAUAAAACUAUGGGUCAAAAGAUACCCCAGUGAUUGGUUCCUGCUCUGGUGCCUCACCUCUUCAUGGUUCCUCUUUAGCAGCAGCACCUCCUCCCUCAGGCCCUCCAGCCUCAUUUCCAAGUCGCUGCGAGCGAUCAGCAAAUCGUCCAGAACCUUCCUGAGGUUGGAGAUGUCAGCCUCCACAGAUUGUCUCAUGGCCAGCUCGUUCUCAUACCUGGGGAAAAACAAACCAAUGUUGGUUUCUGGUUCAAAUCCCAAAGGUUUAAAGCUUCAUGUUACCACCCUUCCUUACUUGACUCUGAAGUCAUCGAUGGCCAGCUGGGAGUUGUCGAUGGAGAGGACGAUAGCAGCAUUUUGACGAGCAGCGUCACAGAUCUAGAGGUUGAGAAAGUGUUUUUCAGAGAACUGUCAGUAGCAGAAAAAAGUUUGUCAAUGGAGAAAGAAGAAACAGAAUUAUUCUACUCUUGCCCCUGGUUCUCCUGCCCCCACCCCCCUAUCCUGGUCCUGCUUACCUGGUCCUGCAGACUUUUGAUCUGCACCCUGAAGCGAGUGUAGUCGUGCA